UACGUAGGGGGCAAGCGUUGUCCGGAUUUAUUGGGCGUAAAGGGUGCGUAGGUGGCGCGGUAAGUCGGGUGUGAAAUUUCGGAGCUUAACUCCGAAACUGCAUUCGAUACUGCGGUGCUUGAGGACUGGAGAGGAGACUGGAAUUCAUGGUGUAGCAGUGAAAUGCGUAGAGAUCAUGAGGAAGACCAGUGGCGAAGGCGGGUCUCUGGACAGUUCCUGACACUGAGGCACGAAGGCCAGGGGAGCAAACGGG
rnacentral:rRNA from 1 species